AGAUAUUUGAGUAACUUGAGAAGAAAGUGGGCAGUUCCAUUUUCACACAAGUUCCCUGGUGCAGAUCCUCUGGCUCUGCGUUUACUUCAGCGUCUGCUUGCAUUUGAUCCUAAAGACCGCCCAUCUGCCGAAGAGAUAAGAUUUACUGAAAUCGUGUUUAAUUGGCUUUUUCUAUAUUUUUAUGUACUUGGUAUCCGUACUGUAAACUCUGUGUACUUUUCUUUCCUAACCCUGCUUAUUGUUUUAUUUACAAGCAUUAGCUGAUCCAUAUUUUCAUGGACUGGCAAACCUUGAAGAGGAACCUUCCAGGAAACCUAUUUCAAAACUUGAGUUUGAAUUUGAGAGGAGGAAAUUGAUAAAAGAUGAUGUAAGAGAGUUAAUAUAU
rnacentral:lncRNA from 1 species